CCAGAGUGAAUGACUAAUUUGGUCUUAGUGGGAAAACUACCAAGACUCUGAUCAGGAUUUUCCAUCCAAGCAGAACAACUCAGGUGUGUGUUAAAAAUGCAGAUUCCUGGAACCUACUCAUCCAGAAUCAGACCAAGAAAAGAAUGAGAUUCUGCCACAUGUGGAUCUGAUAUUUAAACUGUACUGAUCUUCUGUAUGCUGAAAACUAUAGAAAGCUUAUGAAGGAAAUUGAAGAAGAUAUAAAGAAAUGGAAAAACAUUCUGUGCUCAUGGACUGGAAGAAUAAAUAUUGUCAA